GACGAACGCUGGCGGCGUGCUUAACACAUGCAAGUCGAACGGAAAGGCACUGCUUUUGUGGGGUGCUCGAGUGGCGAACGGGUGAGUAACACGUGAGUAACCUGCCCUUGACUGUGGGAUAACUUCAAGAAACUGGGGCUAAUACCGGAUAGUAGCACCUGCUGCCUGGUGGGGGUUGGAAAGUUUCGGCGGGUGGGGAUUGACUCGCGGCUUAUUAGGUUGGUGGUGGGGUAGAGGCUUACCAAGGCUUUGACGGGUAGCCGGCCUGAGAGGGUGACCGGCCACAGUGGGACUGAGCUACGGCCGGGACUCCUACGGGAGACAGCAGUGGGGAAUAUUGCACAAUGGGCGGAAGCCGGAUGCAGCAACGCCGCGUGCGGGAUGACGGCCUUCGGUUUUUAAACCGCUUUCGCCUGUGACGAAGCGUGAGUGACGGUAAUGGGUAAAGAAGCACCGGCUAACUACGUG
rnacentral:rRNA from 1 species